CCUACGGGGUGCUGCAGUGGGGAAUAUUGGACAAUGGGCGAAAGCCUGAUCCAGCCAUGCCGCGUGUGUGAAGAAGGCCUUCGGGUUGUAAAGCACUUUCAGUGGGGAAGAAAGCCUUGGGGCUAAUACCCUCGAGGAAGGACAUCACCCACAGAAGAAGCACCGGCUAACUCCGUGCCAGCAGCCGCGGUAAUACGGAGGGUGCGAGCGUUAAUCGGAAUUACUGGGCGUAAAGCGCGCGUAGGCGGUCUGAUAAGCCGGUUGUGAAAGCCCCGGGCUCAACCUGGGAACGGCAUCCGGAACUGUCAGGCUAGAGUGCAGGAGAGGAAGGUAGAAUUCCCGGUGUAGCGGUGAAAUGCGUAGAGAUAGGGAGGAAUACCAGUGGCGAAGGCGGCCUUCUGGACUGACACUGACGCUGAGGUGCGAAAGCGUGGGUAGCAAACAGGAUUAGAUACCCGAGUAGUC
rnacentral:rRNA from 1 species